rnacentral:rRNA from 1 species
GACGAACGCUGGCGGCGUGCUUAACACAUGCAAGUCGAACGAAGAGCGAUGGAAGCUUGCUUCUAUCAAUCUUAGUGGCGAACGGGUGAGUAACGCGUAAUCAACCUGCCCUUCAGAGGGGGACAACAGUUGGAAACGACUGCUAAUACCGCAUACGAUCUGACCUCGGCAUCGAGAAUAGAUGAAAGGUGGCCUCUACAUGUAAGCUAUCACUGAAGGAGGGGAUUGCGUCUGAUUAGCUAGUUGGAGGGGUGACGGCCCACCAAGGCGAUGAUCAGUAGCCGGUCUGAGAGGAUGAACGGCCACAUUGGGACUGAGACACGGCCCAGACUCCUACGGGAGGCAGCAGUGGGGAAUCUUCCGCAAUGGACGAAAGUCUGACGGAGCAACGCCGCGUGAGUGAUGACGGCCUUCGGGUUGUAAAGCUCUGUUAAUCGGGACGAAAGGCCUUUUUGCGAAUAGUGAGAAGGAUUGACGGUACCGGAAUAGAAAGCCACGGCUAACUACGUG